ensembl:lncRNA
AUGAGGGCAGUCCCCUCUGUGGUGCAGCGGGUCACACCGCAUUACACGGUGUCCGUCUCGCCUCAGUGCCCUCAGGAGAUCGGUCUGCCAACCCUGCCGGAGUUACAGGGCGCAGCGGUCUCCCGCGAGCACCACUCUCAGUUACCGCCCGGAAACGUAGCGGUGCUGAGAGGCUCGCCACCUCCGCGGAGGUCUCGAGAACAGCUAGUUCGGCCGUCUCCUGCCGGUCCGCCGUUACAGGGCACCGAACUAGCUGUUCUAAUUACACCAGAGGUCAGUCUCGAGAGACUGAUUCCCUUAGUAGAUCAUUUAGCAGCGUGGAAACUACUGCCAAAUGUGUCUCAAUGGGUCCUGCACACUGUAGAAAGAGGCUACAGAAUCCAGUUUGGUUCUCCUCCGCCUCGGUUCAACGGGAUUACUCCCACCCUGGUGGGCCCCGAGCAGGCUCUGGUUAUGGAACAGGAAGUGCUCACUCUCCUGAGGAAGGAGGCCAUCGAGAUGGUCCCUCCUCACGACAGAGGGUCCGGGUUCUACAGCCGGUACUUCAUAGUUCCAAAGAAGGAUGGAGGGUUGCGUCCCAUUUUAGAUCUGCGUCUGUUGAACCGCUCAGUCAAGCAGUUGAAGUUCAGGAUGCUCACUCUCAAACAGGUCGUGUCUCAGAUCAGGUCCGAGGACUGGUUUGUCACGAUAGAUCUAAAAGACGCAUACUUCCAUGUCUCCAUCCUUCCCAAUCACAGGAAGUUCCUGAGGUUCGCUUUUGGGGGAAAAGCGUACCAAUAUCGGGUUCUUCCCUUUGGCCUUGCACUCUCACCCCGCACUUUCACGAAGUGUGUGGAUGCAGCUCUGGCUCCGUUGCGACUCCAGGGCAUCCGCAUACUAAACUAUAUCGACGAUUGGUUGAUUUUAGCUCAGUCAGAGCAGGAGGCGAUUCGGCAUCGAGAUGUCGUUCUCGCCCAUAUGAAAGAGCUGGGGUUAAGACUAAACGCCAAGAAAAGUGUGCUUUCUCCAUUACAGAGGACCACUUAUCUGGGCGUGGUGUGGGAUUCGACCACGAUGCAGGCACGUAUGUCACCUGCUCGGAUCGAGUCGAUCCUCACCGCAGUCGCGAGAGUGAGAGAAGGCCGGUCACUCACUGUCAAGCAGUUUCAGAAACUGCUGGGUCUGAUGGCAGCUGCGUCCAACGUGAUACCUAUUGGCCUGCUGUACAUGAGACCCCUACAGUGGUGGCUCAAGACCAAGGGGUUCUCCCCGAGGGGGAACCCACUUCGCAUGAUCAAGGUCACGCGGCGCUGCCUACGUGCCUUGGACAUGUGGAGGAAACCUUGGUUCUUGUCUCAGGGCCCGGUGCUGGGAGCUCCAUGUCGCCGCGUGACGCUAGCGACGGAUGCAUCCCUCACUGGCUGGGGUGCGGUCAUGAGUGGCCACCCUGCCCGCGGUCUGUGGAGUGGUCGCCAUCUGACAUGGCACAUAAACUGCCUGGAGAUGCUGGCCGUGCUUCGAGCUCCUGGACCUGAGAGAUCAUCAUGUGUUGGUGCGCACCGACAACACAGCGGUGGUCUCUUACAUCAACCACCAAGGAGGUCUGCGCUCACACCGUUUGUACAAACUAGUGUACCAGAUCCUUGUGUGGUCCCAGGACGAACUCCUCUUGCUGAGAGCAGUCCACAUUCCUGGGCAUCUAACUUGGGAACAGACAUCCUGUCGAGGCAGGGGCUGAGGCCCGGGGAAUGA